CCUACGGGGUGCUGCAGCGGGGAAUAUUGGACAAUGGGCGAAAGCCUGAUCCAGCCAUGCCGCGUGUGUGAAGAAGGCCUUCGGGUUGUAAAGCACUUUCAGUGGGGAAGAAAGCCUUGGGGCUAAUACCCUCGAGGAAGGACAUCACCCACAGAAGAAGCACCGGCUAACUCCGUGCCAGCAGCCGCGGUAAUACGGAGGGUGCGAGCGUUAAUCGGAAUUACUGGGCGUAAAGCGCGCGUAGGCGGUCUGAUAAGCCGGUUGUGAAAGCCCCGGGCUCAACCUGGGAACGGCAUCCGGAACUGUCAGGCUAGAGUGCAGGAGAGGAAGGUAGAAUUCCCGGUGUAGCGGUGAAAUGCGUAGAGAUCGGGAGGAAUACCAGUGGCGAAGGCGGCCUUCUGGACUGACACUGACGCUGAGGUGCGAAAGCGUGGGUAGCAAACAGGAUUAGAUACCCCAGUAGUC
rnacentral:rRNA from 1 species